UACGUAGGGGGCAAGCGUUGUCCGGAUUUAUUGGGCGUAAAGAGCGUGUAGGCGGCCAGGUAGGUCCGUUGUGAAAAACUCGAGGCUCAACCUCGAGACGUCGGCGGAAACCCUCUGGCUAGAGUCCGGAAGAGGAGAGUGGAAUCCUGGUGUAGCGGUGAAAUGCGCAGAUAUCAGGAGAACACCCGUGCGAAGGCGGCUCUCUGGGACGGUACUGACGCUGAGACGCGAAAGCGUGGGGAGCAAACAGG
rnacentral:rRNA from 1 species